rnacentral:rRNA from 1 species
CCUACGGGUGGCAGCAGUGAGGAAUAUUGGUCAAUGGCCGUAAGGCUGAACCAGCGAAGUCGCGUGAAGGAAGAAGGAUCUAUGGUUUGUAAACUUCUUUUAUAGGGGAAUAAAGUUAUCCACGUGUGGAUAUUUGCAUGUACCCUAUGAAUAAGCAUCGGCUAACUCCGUGCCAGCAGCCGCGGUAAUACGGAGGAUGCGAGCGUUACUCGGUAUUGCUGGGCGUAAAGCGCUCGGAGGCGGUAGUGCAAGUCAAGGGUGAAAUCCCCGCGCUCAACGUGGGAACUGCCUUUGAAACUGGCAAACUGGAGUGUGUGAGAGGAGAGUGGAAUUCCAGGUGUAGGAGUGAAAUCCGUAGAUAUCGGGAGGAACAUCAGUGGCGAAGGCGACUAGCUGGCACAUAACUGACGCUGAGGAGCGAAAGCGUGGGUAGCAAACAGGAUUAGAUACCCGGGUAGUC